GAUGAAGAACGCAGCGAAAUGCGAUAAGUAAUGUGAAUUGCAGAAUUCAGUGAAUCAUCGAAUCUUUGAACGCACCUUGCGCCCUUUGGACAUUCCGAAGGGCAUGCCUGUUUGAGUAUCAUGAACACCUCAACUCUCACGGCUUGUCCGUGAUGAGCUUGGACUUUGGGGGUCUUGCCGGCCUGUGGUCGGCUCCUCUCAAAUGGAUCAGCUUGCCAGCGUUUGGUGGCAUCACAGGUGUGAUAACUAUCUGCGCUUGUGGUUUUCCAUCAGAUAACCUUCAGUGAUAUGGAGGUUCGCUGGAGCUCACAAAUGUCUCUCCUUAGUGAGGACAGCUCUUUGAACGUUUGAUCUCAAAUCAGGUAGGACUACCCGCUGAACUUAAGCAUAUCAAUAAGCGGAGGA
rnacentral:misc_RNA from 1 species